UGGGUCCCGAAGGAAGGCAAGAUGUUGGCAUAGCUGUUGAACUCUGAGGCCUGCUAUGCCAACAACUUGCCAUCUUUCUCUCCCCUUUGCAGCCA
rnacentral:miRNA from 1 species